rnacentral:lncRNA from 1 species
GGAGGACAAAUGCUGGAUAUAUAUAUAUAUAGAGAGAGAGAGAAAGAGAGAGAGAGAGAGGAGAGAGAGAGAGUCCGGCUACUAUACUAUCGAUAGUACCAAGCGCUUUGUACUAUCGAGUUUUCUGUCGUUAGAUCUACCAUUUGACCAUUUUCAUCCGUUAGAUUAUACUAUUCAACCAACCACCUACUCAAUUCUAGAGAACCACUAUCAUCUUAAUUGCACAUCUUUUCAUCCAACGGCCGAAAACUCGAUAGCACUAAGCAUUUGGUACUAUUUAUAGUAUAGUAGCAUAAUUCUCUCUCUCUAUAUAUUGCAGGGCUAUUGUGCUAUUAGAAGUACUGCAGCGCCAGUGUGCUCCUAACUUUCUAACAUCCAUCAAUUUUGAUGGGUGAUUAGGGUGAGAGAGAAAAAAAAAAAUUGAAGAGAAAUUGGGUUUCUCAAUUUCUCUUUUU